CCUACGGGCGGCAGCAGUGAGGAAUAUUGGUCAAUGGGCGGGAGCCUGAACCAGCCACGCCGCGUGAGGGAAGAAGGUACAGCGUAUCGUAAACCUCUUUUGUCAGGGAACAAAGGCGGGGACUAGUCCCCGGAUGAGGGUCCCUGAAGACAAAGCAUCGGCUAACUCCGUGCCAGCAGCCGCGGUAAUACGGGGGAUGCGAGCGUUAUCCGGAUUUAUUGGGGUUAAGGGGUGCGCAGGCGGCCUGUUAAGUCAGAGGUAACAGCCCGGGGCUCAACCCCGACGAGCCGUUGAAACUGGGGGGCUGGAGUUGGGGAGAGGUACGCGGAAUUCGCGGUGUAGCGGUGAAAUGCUUAGAUAUCGGGCAGAACCCCGAUGGCGAAGGCAGCGUACCGGAUCCAAACUGACGCUGAGGCACGAAAGCGUGGGUAGCGAACAGGAUUAGAUACCCUAGUAGUC
rnacentral:rRNA from 1 species